rnacentral:lncRNA from 10 species
UGCCUAUGUCCCACAGAACAAAUACAUAUUCUCUUAAUGUUUAAAAAUACUAUUACUGACAUUCUUCCCAAUGUACUCUUGAUGCAGAAUAGCAGUUCCUUUUAGCUAUAGUAGCAAGUGAUUCUCAUGACUCAGCCUCCCAAGUAGGUGGAAUUACAGGCGUGAGCCACCACACCUGGCUUACUUUUGUUUUUUUAGUACAGCCGGAGUUUCACCAUAUUGGCCAGAGUGGUAUCAAACUCUUGACCUCAGAUGAUCUGCCUACCCGGGCCUCUCAAAGCGCUGGGAUUACAGGCAUUAGCCACUGUGCCCAGCCUCCAAUUACUCUUAAUUUCUUAGCUCUCUUGAAUGGCUUCACCUCCUUCCUUAUCAAAUAUCAAUUACGAUAGUUUUGUUUAAUUUACUCUUGUGGUUAUCUUUCAUUCAUAGCUUGAUUUUUAUUUGUACCUGGGGUUGGCUUCAUUUUGUCUAUGUCAAAACACCUUUUUGAUGUUUAAGUAAAAUAUUGCAUGAAAUAGAAACUUGAUUGUGCUUUUAUGAUACUACUCUAAUUUUUUAAGAGUGAUAAUUCAAUUUCUGCAACCUUUAUACAUUGUUUGAAUGGAAUAACUGUCAUCUGUUUGUUUGCUAUGAGGUGGGGAUUGAGACAAUUUAUGAUUAAAUAAAUUAGGUGUGGAAUUGCUUUCUCUAUUGUUCCUGCCAAAGGAGCUCCCUUUUUUCACUCUUUAAAUAAACUAUUGGAUUAGAGAUCCCACUUCACUCAGGUUCUGACAAGGAUGAACAAGCUGUCAGUCUCCAAAUUACAAAUGGAUUGUAUCACUAAAAUGCAUUUUUUAUCUGCUUUUGGUUUUGUGAAUCCCCAAUAAGUUUUACUUGGCAAUGAUAUUCUAUACAAGUUAAUAUAAACCCCAAAUUUUUCAUGUGAGGAAUGAAUUGUGGGGGAUAUUUCAGGCUUUUUGCUCUUUCGUAUUUCUUAUUUUUUUCAGAUUUUCUCUUCUAUUUUUAUUACACUUUCUCUUUGACAUUUCUGAGGCUUUCUGUCCUUUGAUUUCUCCAAUUACUUCUUUUUUUAAAUUUCUUUUCUUUCCUUUUUUUUUUUUUUUUGAGGCAGACUCACUCUAUUGACCAGGCUGGUGUACGGUAGCAUGAUCUCAGCUCACUGCAACCUCUGCCUCCUGGGUAGCUAUAGUAGCAAGUGAUUCUCGUGCCUCAGCCUCUCAAGUAGAUGGGGAUUACAGGCAUGAGCCACCAACCCAGCUUAUUUUUGUAUUUUUAGUAGAGCUGGAGUUUCACCAUGUUGUCCAGGCUGGUCUUGAACUCCUGACCUCGGGUGAUCUGCCCACCCCGGCCUCCCAAAGUGCUGGGAUUACAGGCUUUAGCCACUGUGCCCAGCCUCCAAUUACUCUUAAUCUCUUAGCUCUCUUGCAUGGCUUCGCCUCCUUCCUUACCAAAUAUCAAACCAUUUUUCCAUCAACUCCACACUCAUCACAAUAUCAGCUUUUUACUUUCUGCUACAAACAUCUAUGAAGUCAUCAUUUCUGCAUCCUCUGCUCUGGCGUAUUUAUGAUCUGGGUCUUCACUUGAAUAGGCAACAGUCUUUGGUAAUCCUCUUUCAACCUUUCACAAUUUUCUUUAGUUCUUCUGACUCAUUCUCACUCCCAUUCUUUCACUCUCAGAAGGAAAUUUUUACUUUUUCCUUACAGAAAAAUUAGAAACAACUGUCCUACAUUCCCUAAAUUUGCCAUGUAUGUAAACAUUCGUCCUUACCUUACCUUAUUUAUACCUCUUUCAGAGGAAAAGUUGUUUUUUCUUGAACUGAGUUUAAUCCUCCCAUCUAGUCUUUGUAUUUUUCCUUCACCCUUCCUAAACACCUUUCUUCAACACUAAUCCUUUCUCAUAGGUUUCAUCCACUUAUUCUCCAUUGGCCCUUUUAAAAUAUGUAUUUGAAAGUACGCUCCUUGGCAGUUUAUGGCAGCAUAAUUUAACAAUAUGUAUUUGAAACAUUUUCUCAUGUUGAUUUUUAAACAAAUAAAAGAAUUUCUCAGCUUUUUCUCUCCUUUCCCAUUUUUACAUCUCAGCCAGGCCUCUAAAAGAUUGGUCCAGUGAUGGAAGAGCUCCAGAAGUCAAGGUCCAGGAUGUGACCACGAAGACUGAACAAUGUGACCCGUGUGCAGUGAACUGAAGGCAGACGGAACAGGACAAGAGAGAAAUGAAUUGAGGGACUAUCAUGCAAGAUUGACUGUCAAAGCAAAGUUUAAAGUCACCUAAAAUAAAAGUCCAAUUUAACCAGAUGGAAAAGACUAUGACCAGGCACUAAAAUAUUAGUAAAUGAGCAAGAGUAAUCAGAAAAUCCAUGGAUGACUAUGAAGGGGCUGCAAAGGGCUUGGCAUAAACUGCCAAGGAGCAUAAUUUUUACUCAUAGGAGACAAAAAAUAGUGUAUAAUUCAGAAUGGAGAUCAGAAGAAAGUCAACUCUGAUUGCCAGAUUCAAAGUCCAUGGGAUACUGGUGAACUUGCAGACUUCAAAUGAAAGAGCUUCAGGAGAAAAAUGGAUUUUCAUGGAAGAAUCAACUUUCAGUUAAUGUACAGAAGAGGAAAGGAUGUUAAAUGAAGAGCUCAUAAAUGAGGAAGAAGAGUUUCCUUAAUGUUUUCUUUUAGUAGUUUCAUAGUUUGAGGUCUCAGAUUUAAGUAUCGAAUCCAUUUUGAUUUGGUUUUUGUAUGUGUUGCGAGAUAAGGGUCUGGUUUAAUUUUUCUGCAUACGGGGAUCCAGUUUUCCCAGCACCAUUUAGAGACUGUCCUUUCCCCAAUAUGUGUUCUUGGCACCUUUGUCAAAAAUGAGUUUACUAUAGAUGUGUGGAUUUCUUUCUGAGCUCUCCAUUCUGUUCCAUUGAUCUAUGUGUUUGUUUUUAUGCUAGUAUCAUGCUGUUUUAGUUACUAUAUAGAUCUACAGUAUAAUUUGAUGUCAGGUAUUGUACCUUGCACAUUUAAAAAUAACUUUAAAAGCAUAAUUGGAAUGUUUGUAACACAAAGAAAUGAUAAAUGCUUGAGGCAAUGGAUAUCCCAUUUACCCUGAUGUGAUUAUUACACAUCGUAUGCCAG